GAUGAACGCUGGCGGCGUGCCUAAUACAUGCAAGUAGAACGCUGAAGGAAGGAGCUUGCUCUUUCCGGAUGAGUUGCGAACGGGUGAGUAACGCGUAGGUAACCUGCCUGGUAGCGGGGGAUAACUAUUGGAAACGAUAGCUAAUACCGCAUAACAGUAGAUGUUGCAUGAUAUCUACUUAAAAGGUGCAAUUGCACCACUACCAGAUGGACCUGCGUUGUAUUAGCUAGUUGGUGAGGUAACGGCUCACCAAGGCGACGAUACAUAGCCAACCUGAGAGGGUGAUCGGCCACACUGGGACUGAGACACGGCCCAGACUCCUACGGGAGGCAGCAGUAGGGAAUCUUCGGCAAUGGACGGAAGUCUGACCGAGCAACGCCGCGUGAGUGAAGAAGGUUUUCGGAUCGUAAAGCUCUGUUGUAAGAGAAGAAAGAGUGUGAGAGUGGAAAGUUCACACUGUGACGGUAUCUUACCAGAAAGGGACGGCUAACUACGUG
rnacentral:rRNA from 1 species